CCUACGUGAGGCAGCAGUGAGGAAUAUUGGUCAAUGGGCGUAAGCCUGAACCAGCCAAGUCGCGUGAGGGAUGAAGGUUCUAUGGAUCGUAUACCUCUUUUAUAAGGGAAUAAAGUGUGGGACGUGUCCUAUUUUGUAUGUACCUUAUGAAUAAGGAUCGGCUAACUCCGUGCCAGCAGCCGCGGUAAUACGGAGGAUCAGAGCGUUAUCCUGAUUUAUUGGGUUUAAAGGGUGCGUAGGCGGCCUUUUAAGUCAGCGGUGAACGUCUGUGGCUCAACCAUAGAAUGGCCGGUGAAACUGGGGGGCUUGAGUAUGUUUGAGGCAGGCGGAAUGCGUGGUGGAGCGGUGAAAUGCUUAGAUAUCACGCAGAACUCCGAUUGCGAAGGCAGCUUACUAAACUGCCACUGACAUUGAUGCUCGAAAGUGUGGGUAUCAAACAGGAUUAGAUACCCCAGUAGUC
rnacentral:rRNA from 1 species